GAUGAACGCUGGCUACAGGCUUAACACAUGCAAGUCGAGGGGCAGCAUGGGGUUUGCUUGCAAACCCCGAUGGCGACCGGCGCACGGGUGAGUAACGCGUAUCCAACCUUCCCGCGACUCGGGUAUAACCUGCCGAAAGGCGGACUAAUCCCCGAUGUCCUCCACUUUGGACAUCUUUUGUGGAGCAAAGGCUUCGGCCGGUUGCGGAUGGGGAUGCGUCCGAUUAGCUUGUUGGCGGGGCAAUGGCCCACCAAGGCUUCGAUCGGUAGGGGUUCUGAGAGGAAGGCCCCCCACAUUGGAACUGAGACACGGUCCAAACUCCUACGGGAGGCAGCAGUGAGGAAUAUUGGUCAAUGGGCGGAAGCCUGAACCAGCCAAGUAGCGUGCAGGAUGACGGCCCUAUGGGUUGUAAACUGCUUUUAUGCGGGGAUAACCGGGGCCACGCGUGGCCCCCUGCAGGUACCGCAUGAAUAAGGACCGGCUAAUUCCGUGCCAGCAGCCGCGGUAAUACGGAAGGUCCGGGCGUUAUCCGGAUUCAUUGGGUUUAAAGGGAGCGUAGGCCGUGGAUUAAGCGUGUUGUGAAAUGUAGGCGCUCAACGUCUGACUUGCAGCGCGAACUGGUCCACUUGAGUGUGCGCGACGCAGGCGGAAUCCGUGGUGUAGCGGUGAAAUGCUUAGAUAUCACGAGGAACCCCGAUUGCGAAGGCAGCUUGCGGGAGCACCACUGACGCUGAGGCUCGAAGGUGCGGGUAUCGAACAGG
rnacentral:rRNA from 1 species